UCAGACAGAGGCUUAUAUCAAA
rnacentral:siRNA from 1 species